rnacentral:rRNA from 1 species
GAUGAACGCUGGCGGCGUGCCUAAUACAUGCAAGUCGAGCGAACGGACGAGAAGCUUGCUUUUCUGAUGUUAGCGGCGGACGGGUGAGUAACACGUGGAUAACCUACCUAUAAGACUGGGAUAACUUCGGGAAACCGGAGCUAAUACCGGAUAAUAUUUUGAACCGCAUGGUUCAAAAGUGAAAGACGGUCUUGCUGUCACUUAUAGAUGGAUCCGCGCUGCAUUAGCUAGUUGGUAAGGUAACGGCUUACCAAGGCAACGAUGCAUAGCCGACCUGAGAGGGUAAUCGGCCACACUGGAACUGAGACACGGCCCAGACUCCUACGGGAGGCAGCAGUAGGGAAUCUUCCGCAAUGGGCGAAAGCCUGACGGAGCAACGCCGCGUGAGUGAUGAAGGUCUUCGGAUCGUAAAACUCUGUUAUUAGGGAAGAACAUAUGUGUAAGUAACUGUGCACAUCUUGACGGUACCUAAUCAGAAAGCCACGGCUAACUACGUG